rnacentral:tRNA from 1 species
GGGCCGGUAGCUCAGUUGGUUAGAGCGCACCCCUGAUAAGGGUGAGGUCGGAAGUUCGAGUCUUCCUCGGCCCA